CGAAGAAGACUCUCUCUCGCUCUCAGAGACUCUCGCAGACAGUAGUGUGGAGCAGUGAAUGAGAGAGGAUAAGAAAAACAAUCUGAUGAUAAACAAUCAAAAAAACUAAAACUAAAACUAAAACUAAAACUAAAAGGCUCCUCUCUCUCUUUCUCUCUUUACUCCUCUCUCUCAGAGAGACAGAGACUAGUGUCGCCGGCCGGCGGGCCUCCCUAUAUCUAUAUGAUGGCCGUCUCCUUAGCCAAUUGCUGCUUCUCCUUCCUGAAUGCCUCCGUGAAACUUCAAUCAUCUUCAUCCUUGUCUUCACCGUGCUGCUUCGUUUCCGCGCCGCAGUCUCCACGAGCAUCCAAGCAUCAUCAUCAUCUUAAGAGGAAAUCCUCGAGGUCUGAUUCAUCUCCUCCUUUAUUAAGCAACAACCCUGAGAACCAGAGGAAGAAUCAGGCGGGUCGAGAUGAGAGUUGUAAUAAUGCUCAUCAAACAAUGGCAUUCAAGGCCUUUGGUUCUCCCAAAAAGGAUAAGAAAGAUGCUGCUCUUUCUCACCAACGGACUGAUGAUCCUGCCAAGAUUCACGAUGCAUCCUUUCUCAAUGCCGUUGUCAAAGUUUAUUGCACUCAUACUGCGCCUGAUUACUCCCUCCCAUGGCAGAAGCAGAGACAAUUUACUAGCACUGGCAGUGCUUUUAUGAUCGGAGAUGGCAAGCUCUUGACCAAUGCUCAUUGUGUUGAACACGACACCCAGGUUAAAGUUAAGAGAAGGGGAGAUGACAGAAAAUAUGUGGCUAAGGUUUUAGUAAGAGGUGUGGACUGUGACAUUGCUUUGCUCUCAGUAGAAAGCGAGGAUUUCUGGAAAGGUGCCGAACCUCUGCGCCUUGGCCAUUUACCCCGCCUUCAGGAUUCAGUAACUGUCGUGGGAUAUCCUCUUGGAGGAGAUACAAUCUCUGUUACAAAAGGGGUUGUAUCACGUAUAGAGGUAACAUCAUAUGCUCAUGGAUCAUCCGACUUGCUUGGAAUUCAGAUUGACGCUGCAAUAAAUCCAGGGAAUAGUGGUGGCCCUGCAUUCAAUGACCAGGGGGAAUGUAUUGGAGUAGCAUUUCAGGUUUACAGAUCUGAAGAAACUGAAAAUAUUGGUUAUGUGAUUCCAACAACAGUUGUUUCUCACUUUUUGACUGACUAUGAGAGGAACGGAAAGUACACUGGUUACCCUUGCCUUGGAGUAUUGCUGCAGAAAUUGGAGAAUCCAGCUCUGCGGGAGUGCCUCAAAGUUCCUACAAAUGAGGGGGUGCUGGUGCGAAGAGUUGAACCUACAUCUUAUGCAAGUAAAGUCCUGAAAGAGGGAGAUGUGAUUGUAAGUUUUGAUGAUCUACACGUGGGAUGUGAAGGAACUGUACCCUUCCGAUCCAGUGAACGCAUAGCAUUCCGUUAUCUCAUCAGUCAAAAAUUUGCAGGUGACAUCGCGGAGCUCGGUAUCAUUAGAGCAGGAGAACAUAAGAAAGUUCAAGUAGUUCUAAGGCCACGAGUGCACCUGGUACCGUACCAUAUCGAUGGAGGUCAGCCAUCAUACAUUAUAGUUGCUGGUUUGGUGUUUACUCCGCUCUCAGAACCGCUGAUAGAGGAGGAGUGCGAGGACACCAUAGGCUUGAAAUUAUUAACAAAGGCACGAUACUCUGUGGCAAGGUUUAGAGGAGAACAAAUCGUCAUCCUAUCACAGGUGUUGGCAAACGAAGUAAACAUCGGCUAUGAGGACAUGAAUAACCAGCAGGUCCUGAAGUUCAAUGGAAUUCCUAUAAGAAACAUCCAUCAUUUGGCACACCUCAUUGACAUGUGCAAAGAUAAGUAUCUAGUUUUUGAGUUCGAAGACAACUAUGUCGCAGUGUUGGAGAGAGAAGCUUCAAAUUCUGCUUCCUUGUGCAUCCUUAAAGAUUAUGGAAUCCCCUCAGAAAGAUCUGCAGAUCUGCUCGAGCCAUAUGUAGAUCCUAGAGAUGACACCCAAGCACUUGACCAAGGUAUCGGAGACAGCCCUGUGUCUAAUCUGGAAAUCGGCUUUGAUGGACUGGUGUGGGCAUAAAUUGUUCAUAAAAGGCGUCCGCAGAUGGAAGCCACUGAAAGCCCACACAGCUUCCCGUAACAUAUGGGAAAGCUCUCAGCUUCAUCCUCAUUCAUAAGAUCAGGAAAAAACAUAACAAGAAGUUAAAGCUGGCAGUCACUUCGGGUUAUAUCAAAUCAGGAGAGAGCUUCACGGGACUCUACUUUGUUUUUCUUUUUAGAUUACUUCUUUAAUUUAUUCAGCAUAUCAAAACAUACAAACAAACACUCCGACACAAAUCAAAACCCGACAAAUCCAUAUUUCAUGUGCUCUGCCCUAAAACAGAGGUCCACAACCAAACCCACCAAUCUUGUCUUUUACCUCCUCUAUAGCUGUAUAGUAUACCUUUAUCUUCUUCAA